UACGUAGGGUGCGAGCGUUGUCCGGAAUUAUUGGGCGUAAAGGGCUCGUAGGCGGUCUGUCACGUCGGGAGUGAAAACACGGGGCUUAACCCCGUGCCUGCUUCCGAUACGGGCAGACUAGAGGUAUGCAGGGGAGAACGGAAUUCCUGGUGUAGCGGUGAAAUGCGCAGAUAUCGGGAGGAACACCGGUGGCGAAGGCGGUUCUCUGGGCCUGUACUGACGCUGAGGAGCGAAAGCGUGGGGAGCGAACAGG
rnacentral:rRNA from 1 species